CCUGCCGGACCUGACUGCUAUCGGAUUGAUACUAAGCCAUGCGAGUCAUUGUAGCAAUACAAGGCAGACGGCUCAGUAACACGUAGUCAACCUACCCUAUGGACAAGAAUAAUCUCGGGAAACUGGGCAUAAUUCUUGAUAGAUCAUAAUGCCUGGAAUGGUUUAUGGUUAAAAUGAUUCGUCGCCAUAGGAUAGGACUGCGGCCUAUCAGCUUGUUGGUGAGGUAAUGGCCCACCAAGGCGAUUACAGGUACGGGCUCUGAGAGGAGAAGCCCGGAGAUGGGUACUGAGACACGGACCCAGGCCCUAUGGGGCGCAGCAGGCGAGAAAACUUUGCAAUGUGCGAAAGCACGACAAGGUUAAUCCGAGUGAUUUCUGCUAAAGAAAUCUUUUGCCAGUCAUAAAACCACUGGUGAAUAAGGGGUGGGCAAGUUCUGGUGUCAGCCGCCGCGGUAAAACCAGCACCUCGAGUGGUUAGGACGUUUAUUGGGCCUAAAGCAUCCGUAGCCGGUUUUAUUGGUCUUCUAUUAAAUCUAAUAGCUUAACUAUUUGACUGUAGGGGAUACCAUAAGACUAGGAGGCGGGAGAGGCGGACGGUAUUUUGUGGGUAGGGGUAAAAUCCUUUGAUCCAUAGAGGACCACCAGUGGCGAAGGCGGUCCGCCAGAACGCGCUCGACGGUGAGGGAUGAAAGCUGGGGGAGCGAACCGGAUUAGAUACCCGGGUAGUCCCAGCUGUAAACGAUGCAAGCUAGGUGGAUGGGAUGCUUUAAGGCAUCCCUGUGCCGCAGGGAAGCCGUUAAGCUUGCCGCCUGGGGAGU
rnacentral:rRNA from 1 species